AGAGUUUGAUCAUGGCUCAGGACGAACGCUGGCGGCGUGCUUAACACAUGCAAGUCGAGGGCAGGGGGUGGCAACACGCCCUGACCGGCGAACGGGUGCGUAACACGUGAGCGAUCUACCCUGGUGUGGGGGAUAGCCGGCCCAACGGCCGGGUAAUACCGCAUGCGUUCCGUUGGGGGCAUCUCCGGCAGAACAAAGCCUUCGGGCGCAUUGGGAGGAGCUCGCGGCCUAUCAGCUAGUUGGUGCGGUCACGGCGCACCAAGGCGACGACGGGUAGCUGGUCUGAGAGGAUGGCCAGCCACAUUGGGACUGAGAAACGGCCCAGACUCCUACGGGAGGCAGCAGUGGGGAAUCUUGCGCAAUGGCCGAAAGGCUGACGCAGCGACGCCGCGUGUGGGAGGAAGCCCUUCGGGGUGUAAACCACUGUUGCCCGGGACGAAUAGCCCCUUCGUGGGGCCUGACGGUACCGGGUGAGGAAGCACCGGCUAACUCCGUGCCAGCAGCCGCGGUAAUACGGAGGGUGCGAGCGUUGUCCGGAAUCACUGGGCGUAAAGGGCGCGUAGGUGGCUUGGCAAGCGUGUGGUGAAAGCCCGGGGCUCAACCCCGGGUCUGCCGUGCGAACUGCUAUGGCUCGAGCACUGUAGAGGCAGGUAGAAUUCCGGGUGUAGCGGUGGAAUGCGUAGAGAUCCGGAAGAAUACCGGUGGCGAAGGCGGCCUGCUGGGCAGUGGCUGACACUGAGGCGCGACAGCGUGGGGAGCAAACAGGAUUAGAUACCCCUGUAGUCC
rnacentral:rRNA from 1 species